rnacentral:rRNA from 1 species
AUGCACGCUGGCGGCGUGCCUCAUACAUGCAAGUCGCGCGAACAGACGAGGAGCUUGCUCCUCUGACGUUAGCGGCGGACGGGUGAGUAACACGUGGAUAACCUACCUAUAAGACUGGGAUAACUUCGGGAAACCGGAGCUAAUACCGGAUAAUAUAUUGAACCGCAUGGUUCAAUAGUGAAAGACGGUUUUGCUGUCACUUAUAGAUGGAUCCGCGCCGCAUUAGCUAGUUGGUAAGGUAACGGCUUACCAAGGCAACGAUGCGUAGCCGACCUGAGAGGGUGAUCGGCCACACUGGAACUGAGACACGGUCCAGACUCCUACGGGAGGCAGCAGUAGGGAAUCUUCCGCAAUGGGCGAAAGCCUGACGGAGCAACGCCGCGUGAGUGAUGAAGGUCUUCGGAUCGUAAAACUCUGUUAUUAGGGAAGAACAAAUGUGUAAGUAACUAUGCACGUCUUGACGGUACCUAAUCAGAAAGCCACGGCUAACUGCGUG